AUUGAACGCUGGCGGCAGGCUUAACACAAGCAAGUCGAGCGGGGGAAGGUAGCUUGCUACCUAACCUAGCGGCGGACGGGUGAGCAAUGCUUAGGAAUCUGCCUAUUAGUGGGGGACAACAUUUCGAAAGGGAUGCUAAUACCGCAUACGCCCUAAGGGGGAAAGCAGGGGAUCUUCGGACCUUGCGCUAAUAGAUGAGCCUAAGUCGGAUUAGCUAGUUGGUGGGGUAAAGGCCUACCAAGGCGACGAUCUGUAGCGGGUCUGAGAGGAUGAUCCGCCACACGGGGACUGAGACACGGGCCAGAUGCCUACGGGAGGCAGCAGUGGGGAAUAUUGAACAAUGGGCGGAAGCCUGAUCCAGCCAUGCCGCGUGUGUGAAGAAGGCCUUUUGGUUGUAAAGCACUUUAAGCGAGGAGGAGGCUACUGAGAUUAAUACUCUUGGAUAGUGGACGUUACUCGCAGAAUAAGCACCGGCUAACUCUGUGCCAGCAGCAGCCGCAGUAA
rnacentral:rRNA from 1 species